GGAACUCACUCUGUAGACCAGUCUGUCCUGGAACUCAGAAAUCCACCUGCCUCUGCCUCCACCUCCCGAGUGCUGGGAUUAAAGGGGUGUGCCACCUCACCCGGCUUUAUCAGAAUGUUUAAAUAGAGUUAGAAUAUAUUUGUUUCUUGUAACCUUGUAUUUUUCUUUGUAGAAUACUAUUACAAAGGAAUUCUUUUAAGUGCGCUCAGCAUUUGGAAUCCCUUAGGAAGGAGAGAAACUGACCAAGGAACCAUCUAACUUUUUUUAUUGGUGUUCUUGUUGGGAUGGGUCUGUUAUUACAGAUUUGUUACAUUUGGCUUUGGGUUCACUUUAAAAAACAAGAGUUAUAGCCUAGUGGCUAUGCUUUUAAUUUCAGCUCUUGGGAGACAGGGGCAGGCAGAUCUCUUGAGUUUGAGGCCAGCCAGUUCCAGGAGAAGUAAGGCUACACAGAGAAACCCUGUCUUGU
rnacentral:lncRNA from 1 species